rnacentral:rRNA from 1 species
AACGUAGGACGCGAGCGUUAUCCGGAGUUACUGGGCGUAAAGGGUGGGCAGGCGGCCGUGUCAGAUGGGUGUGAAAUCUCCCGGCUCAACUGGGAGGGGCCACUCGUGACUGCACGGCUGGAGGGCAGCAGAGGCGCGUGGAAUUCCGGGUGGAGUGGUGAAAUGCGUAGAGAUCCGGAGGAACACCAGAGGCGAAGGCGGCGCGCUGGGCUGCACCUGACGCUGAACCACGAAAGCCAGGGUAGCGAACGGG